rnacentral:rRNA from 1 species
UACGGAGGGUGCAAACGUUGCUCGGAAUCAUUGGGCGUAAAGCGCAUGUAGGCGGUCCAGCAAGUCGGUGUGAAGCCUCGGCUUAACCGAGGAAGUGCAUUCGAAACUACUGGACUUGAGUACUGAAGAGGUCGCGGAAUUCCGGUGUAGAGGUGAAUUCGAUAGAUAUCGGAGGAACACCAGAAGCGAAGGCGGCUCACUGGCCCGAGACUGACGCUGAGCGCGAAAGCGUGGGAGCAACAGG